UAAGACCCAUGUGUUAUUUUUAGCUCCUAAACACUUCAUUAGCGUGCAAACAACUCCUUACUUCAUUGUUAUUGCAUUGAUUGCCUAUUUACAUGUCUCUUAUUGAUAGAUCAUUGUUUCAAGGUACCAUAAUGUUAUGACCACCGAAGUAACAAUCUCAAAGGCUAAUUAAACUAAGUAACGAAAAUCUGUAAAACAGGUGGCAGCUCAG
rnacentral:lncRNA from 1 species